rnacentral:lncRNA from 1 species
AUGGCAGGAAACCUCCAGGGCCUUUUGAUUCAGGCUAAGAAAAGUGAAUCAGAGUACCUGAGGGCUCGGAGUCGUCACAAUGUCAUGGCCAAAGUCAAACGCCAAAGUCGAGCAAUGGAUAAGAAAAUCCAACAAGGGCUCAUAAAUCACAGGGACUGUUAUGAUUUGAAUUUCCCUGCAGGAUGGGACACGGCACACCGAGACAGGGAUUAUCAGAGAGCACGAUGCCUGUUGCCUAAACCUCCUGGAUUGGGGGGGGCUGGAGGCUCAUCCGUGGUCCGCAUUACCUCCUCUCAAUUGCGCUUAUUCCACGGAGGACAGAGGCCAAAGGUCCUAAUCAGGGAGUGAAUAUUAAUCAUCUUAAAUUUUCCAGUGUGUAGGGUUUAGGGGGAUGUAUGAAAUGGAAUAUAAUAUCCAUAAUGAUGUUUUCAUCAGUGUAUAAUCACCUGAAACAAAGGGGUGUUGUGGUUUUUUUACCUUAGAAUGAGCCCUUUAUAUCUAAAUUGGCGCGGGUCCACUUCUACAGAGCCCUCCACAUCGCACCGCCCUGAUUCGACUCUUUCAUAUUAUAUCUGUGACUCUUGUAGAUUGUGCUAUAGGUCUAUUUGAAUGAAUUUUAUUGGAGUUUUAUAACAGUUUGUUCAUAAGAGGUGUAAAGGGGACCUAAAGGUGUGUCUUUGUAGGAUAUACAUAUAUAUAAUGUGCAUUUACAUAGGAAAUAGAUAUAUAUAAUGUACAUUUCUUUGUUGAUUAAUGACCAUUUAGAAAAAAAUAUUUGUUCACAAACAGUCUGUAUAACAUGCAAAAAUAUCAACAUUUUUCUGUAACAAUUGUAUUUCAUUCAUUUAUUUCUGUGUACCACUUCAAAAUCUUUUUACAUUUUGAGUUUUGAGGUGGUCAUGUAAAAAACAAAAAAAGAUUUUAAAAGACAUUAUUAUUAUUAUGACAUACACUGUACAAUAUCAGGGUCAGCGGGAGACCAAACAACAAGAAAGUACAAGAACAUUCACCUCUUGUUCCUCCAGCUUGGUUCAAUGACGUCUUGGUUGCUCACCAGUUUCCACUGUCUACAUUUAGCAGCUGUCCGUGAGCUCAGGCCAGUUCUGCUGUGGGCCUGACGGGGGAAAUACUGUGCAAUCCUUCUUUUUAUUUUUGGCUCAUAUUGACAUCCAGAGAGAAAGAUAUUGUCAUUUACUUUGUGUGUUAAAGACGUAUUUAGUGAGUUGUCCUACCUGUCUGUGCAGUUUGCUAUACAUAUAUGUAUGUUUUCAGAUACAUCAUUUAUUCAUAUAUUCAUAUUUGCCAUAAGUCUCAAAAUAAUAGGUAUACAUACACUAUAUGUACUCUAGAAAAACAAUGCACAAGUGGGUAUUGAUAAUUUCUUUACAACAUAAUCAUUGAUUUGUGGAAAAAUUAAAUCUGGCCUAUGGGGCGUUAACCCAUUAUUUCCAGUGUGCAGAAGAUUUUUCCAACUUCUGAUUGACAGAUGUUGUUAUAUUCUCCAUUUUGUAAAUUGUAAUUGUAAUUUCCAUCUAUGCACUUAAAGUUGCAUUCGACUCUAUUGACGAACGAUGCCAGCAAACAGGGUGUGUGAUCAUUAUUUUUUUGUUGUUGUUGAUGUUUUACUUUUUUACCUUUUGGCUUUUUAUUAUUAUUGUUGUUGUUGUUAACUUUUCUCCAGACCUGGAUUCUCCCCACUCUUCAAUACAUAAUCACUAUGAGAAUAAGUAAUGGGACACUGUAACUUUCAUGAAAGGUUUUUCUUUAUUUUCAUUAAAUGUCUGUCUUCUAAGUUAAAGAUAAGGUUGAUUUCCUCUCUUCAGAAUGUUUAGUGUUUUGAAGAGGAUGACAUAAGAUCUGUUGCUACUUAAUAUCUCUCUCAUGAGGUUAUGUCCUUAGAAUGGUAAUUUCUCUAGGAUGGUUCAGACAGAGACGUUUGGCUUCACCUAAACCCCUGAGUUAUAAAUGACAGAUUCACUUGUCUUGUCCAGUGGCACAUUUUGAUAACUACCGUACCUUCAGGCUUUACAGUAAAUUCCACUCCGACCUAAGGUGUUUCAAGAUGAAACAGAAACAAAAAGUUCACCCACUGAUGAUCUCACAGAGCCAUUUACCCCUUGGAGCCUGACACCCCUCAGCCAGGCCCGGGCAGCCGUGGUGGGCUUGAGUGUAAAUAGAUUAGGGAAAUGACAUUAAGGACAGCAAAAGUGCCAUUCCUCCGGGAUAGAACAUGCUAAUGAAGCAGGAGGCCGCUCUCUGGCUGCUGAGCUUUAACUUCGUCGAGCCUGGUUUCAGUCGCCAGUUCUGUACCAAACAGAUUGGAUUAAAACAUCAAGUGGGGGUGAGUCAUGUUUCUGUUUGGACAAGAAGGAACAAAUUUCGCCGCCAUCAACCACUGGUGAUGAUGAAUUGAUUAAAGAAGUGCUUCUCAUUGCAGGAUGAUGGAUGAGUCAGAACUGGGUCACUUCUCUUCUGCGUCAUGAAACAGGAUGAGCAGCAGCUCACGCCCCGAGCCAGAAACCAGUCAGCCUUUUGAUCUAACAAUUCUGAAAACUGUUAUUUUAAUGAAAUAUAUAACAUACGGAACAUUACUUUCAGUUUCUAUUUUCUUGAUUGAUAGAGGGUUGAAAGAAGGCACGUGCUUUACUGGCAGAUCAUUCCCCAUUGUUUGUGCCUCAUUAAUGGCCAUGGUCUUCCUCUUGUGGUGAAGUGGCCUCCAUGACCGCACAGCACUCAUGUCCACUGACAGGAGCCCAGAGAGGGGUGGGGUGACGCUCGGCGGACGGGGCAGAACUCUCAAUAUGAAAGGGCUAGGGCUUUAAAGCACAUGCCCUCCAUCAGUUGCCCAAUCGGUUUCUCUUUAACACAUUUCCCCGGUGACCUUCAGCCCUGCACUGGCCGAGCCGAGGUCAAGGGUCAGGGUUCAGGGUUCAGGCGGGGUACACAUUAGCAUGCAGGUGGAGGCUCGGAAAUGCAUUAGUGGGAAUAAUGUCUUUGGAGUGUGUGACCUAGGAUUCUGGGUGGUGAUAGGCCAAAUGCACAUCCUGAGGACACGACCUUUGCCCCCACUUUGCGGUCCUGUGUAUGUUCCUCAUAAUAAUCUGUCUCUGUUGAGAAGAUAAUGACCAACAUCUUUUCCUGGAGAACAAGGGACCUCAGGGGGGGUAUUAAUAUGGAUUAGGGAGUUCAAAGUGCAUUGGGAUCACUGUCUAACCAUGUACAUGUGUUUUUAGUCAAUACAAUGAGAUUUCUUUAUGUAAGAUUUGAUGGUUUUUUACAGACAAAAUCAGAUAUAUGCAGAGGUUUGCGUCUGUCUCUGUCAGUAUUUAUCUGCCGACUUGGUGACCCCAGGGGUCUCAUAUUCCCUCUGAAUCCCCACCAAGGAUGACCAACAGUGCGGUAAGGGGCAUUUAUUGAUUGACUUGCCUUUAUAGCUCUAGUGAGAGGUGCCACAGUGAGCUGUAAAUUGUAAUGCUUUCACUGCGAAUAGAUACAGAAAUAAAUGCUUAUUCCAGCCUUCAUGAACACAUUAUAACAGUCGAGCAGAUGGGAUGUUUUCUCCAUACAAGUUUCAGGUUUUUCUUGUUUGUCAUGUGUAGGUAAACACGGGGUUAACGUAACAACGUAAAGUGUGGGACGAUAGAACAGGUCACUCAGCAAGUUAAAAUUAAAGAUAUACAUAUAUAAAUAGGGUACAAAGAGUAAAAUAAGGUAGGGAAUGAAUACAAUGAAAUUAGAAUAACAAUGAAAGAAAUGUAGAUAGAAAUAUAACUAUGCAUAUGUUGUUCAAUGGGUUGCUUUGAAAAUGUAAUGUGUUACAGUAUUGCACACUGGGUAGGAGUGUAUCCUAAACCAUCUGAACUGUGAUAAUGAUACUUCUUACUUUUUUGUUUCACAAGUUUGACAAGGCAUAUACAAUGACAUGCACCAGCAAGUCUAUGUGGAGAGGAUGAGCUUUGGUCUUGUUGGUAUGUGACAGUGAGGUACAAGGAAGAUGAAUCUUGCUUACACUAUUAAUAUUUUAUAUGAAUCCAAAAUGAAAGUACAAAACAGAUGACAUCUAGUUUGUAGACUGGGAGCCAAAAAAACCCCAAAACACACCACGUUCUGAGUCAUGAAAAUACCUUUGUCAUCAGAUAUUCUUGUUCUGGAGUAUUUGUACUAGGAUUGUGGUGUUUGCCACAUGUGACCGUGUUGUGUCACAAAAGGCCUCAGACAAAGGCUGACUCACUGCUGUUUGUGUGUCUGUCUGGAUUCAUUUAUUGAAACAAAAACACUGUGUCUCAGAAAACACUGCAGGAACGUGUGCUGUUGAUGUUCUCAGUGUGAAACUGUUUCUCUGUAAUCCUUGUGUAACAGUUCCUCCAUAAAUCAGUUUUACAAUUGUUCCCUGUAAACAGAUAACACUGUUCUGCGGUUAUAUAACGACCGGUUACCCUUCUGUCCAUGUCCGUCCACAUUGCAUGGCCUGCACACGUGAGCUCUUCUUUAACUGUAUGUUCCCGCGCUCUGUUUCUUCCGCAGCUCACACCUUUGACCCAGUUUUCAGCGGAUUUCUAGGAACACAGGACAGUGUGGCACGGAACUGCACGGCCUAAAAUGCGGGCUUGUUUGUCCACGGAGGGAAAACGGCAUGUGCGCAUGUUAUUGCCAAGUGAUCAGAGCUCAGACUGGGAAAGGAACCUUAUCUGCACCCCCCUCCUCUCAACUAAGCCCCUAUAGACUCUAUAGAGCAGGCGGUCCUCCAUGGCCUGAGCAAAGAUUACUCCCAGCGCCGGCAUCACUGGAUAUUACACUGGACAUUCGGUGAAUGAUUUAUGCCUGAUUGUUCCUUUAAGUUCCCCUCUGUUUUUUUUUUACACUGAGUAAAGCAAGUCAAAACAUUACAUGUGUUUCCAUGUAUGGCAUUGAAUUAAAUACCCUACAUAUUUUAUGUGCAUGGAAAUGACCCGUCUUUGGGAGCAUUUUUAUCUCAAACUAGAAGUCAAGAAAAUUCUGAUUUGAGGAAUGCUUGGCUACUCGACAGGU